CGCGGGCAGGGCCGGGGGCCGGCAGUGUGCGCGUCACUGUCGGCUGCGGCUUCUCUUGUUUUGACAGUCGCGCUAGGCGCUAAACCACGUAUCUCUGAACGAUGAGCAGGCUUGCAGUGUCAUCAUCAUCAUCAUUAUCAUCAUCAUCAAUCUGCUUCCUUGUUACCUCCACCCCCCUCCCCCGAGAAGGCCUGGUGGACCCUUCUGUAUGUUCUCCUUCAGGAAAAAAAAAAAAAAGACUGGAGAAAAGUGCUCAGUCAUAUGUCAUCAUAAGUAUAAAAAAACAGAAAGAUGGAUGUCCCUUAGAGAAACACUGAAUGUGUUCUUACCUGCUGAAGUUUGCGGUUUUUUGCUGGAUUUGUAAGUAAACCAGCCUUAAAACUGUGUUUCAUGUUGCCUCUUGUAUUUCUGUUAGUUAAAUUUUGUUAUAUUUCAGUGACUGUUGAAAGGUUACAGUGCUUUCUUAGGUUUUUUUCUGUAUGCAUGUUCCCUGAGAAAAUAAUUUUAGGUCUUUAUGAAUGCCCUUUUAACCUAUAAAUUGGUAUAUUUUUCUACAUACAUACCUUAUUCUUGUUUUCACAAAGUGCUUUGUUUUUGUUCUGUUUAGGCUCAUAUUCCUCUGGUUGAAAGUUAUGUAGAGCACAUACCCUGGAACUAAGAGCCAGGAUUUCCUGCUUUCCCAAUUCCCGUGAUUUUCUUAUUUUUUCAUUAUUCUGGUCUGGGGAUUUUGUUACAACACUAAUUUCUGUAGAUAAUCUGAGGAUCUCUUGGUGCUCCUACAUGUCAAACCAUGUAAUUGCAGAAUUCUGAACUAUGCUGGCCAAGCAGAGCUCUUUACUCAUAGAAUAUAGUAUGGAGAGAAAGAAAAUGCAGUUAUGGCAAAGAAAAGAUUCACAUAGGAAUCUUUCUCCAAGAAACUGUAGUUGACUGGGCUGCAGAUUUGAAGACAAUAGCAUCCUGAGACUCUCUCUGGGUUUUUUUCUUCUGAGUUACCUUGUGGAUCUCCUAAGAUGAGUAAAUUAAGGGUCAAACACUGGUACAGUUCUAUUAGACACCUUUUUAAUAAUGAAACUGUAGCUGCUGGGAAAUGCUUGGACGUGAAGACAGGGGCGAUUACAGGGUCGCCACUGGUACCGAUUCCAGAGCCUGCCCCAGGACAGUAGGGGGCGAAAUAGCACCUUAUCCCUCGUGCUUUUAGGGACGUGACCCACCUUGGAUUGCAACUCCGGCUGCAGAUGGGUAGAUGUAUUCCCUCUCUGUGGCUGUGCCAAGAAAAUGCCAUGGCUGACUCCUCUUGAUGAGAAUGCUGUCUAGAAU
rnacentral:lncRNA from 1 species